GAAAUGCGAUAAGUAAUGUGAAUUGCAGAAUUCAGUGAAUCAUCGAAUCUUUGAACGCUCAUUGCGCACGCCAGUAUUCUGGCGAGCAUGCCUGUUCGAGCGUCAUUUCAACCAUCAAGCUCUGCUUGCGUUGGGGAUCCGCGGCUGCCCGCGGUCCCUCAAAAACAGUGGCGGGCUCGCUAGUCACACCGAGCGUAGUAACUCUACAUCGCUAUGGUCGUGCGGCGGGUUCUUGCCGUAAAACCCCCAAUUUCUAAGGUUGACCUCGGAUCAGGUAGGAAUACCCGCUGAACUUAAGC
rnacentral:misc_RNA from 1 species